GAUGAACGCUGGCGGCGUGCCUAAUACAUGCAAGUCGAGCGAACAGAUGAUGAGCUUGCUCCUCUGACGUUAGCGGCGGACGGGUGAGUAACACGUGGAUAACCUACCUAUAAGACUGGGAUAAUUUCGGGAAACCGCAGAUAAUACCGGAUAAUAUAUUGAACCGCUUGGUUCAAUAGUGCAAGACGGUUUUCCCGUCACUUAUAGAUGAAUCCGCGCCGCAUUAGCUAGUUGGUAAGGUAACGGCCUACCAAGGAAACGAUGCGUAGCCGACCUGAGAGGGUGAUCGGCCACACUGGAACUGAGACACGGUCCAGACUCCUACGGGAGGCAGCAGUAGGGAAUCUUCCGCAAUGGGCGAAAGCCUGACGGAGCAACGCCGCGUGAGUGAUGAAGGUCUUCGGAUCGUAAAACUCUGUUAUUAGGGAAGAACAAAUGUGUAAGUAACUAUGCACGUCUUGACGGUACCUAAUCAGAAAGCCACGGCUAACUACGUG
rnacentral:rRNA from 1 species